rnacentral:rRNA from 1 species
GGUGAACGCUGGCGGUAGGCCUAACACAUGCAAGUCGAACGGCAGCACAGAGGAGCUUGCUCCUUGGGUGGCGAGUGGCGGACGGGUGAGGAAUACAUCGGAAUCUACUCUGUCGUGGGGGAUAACGUAGGGAAACUUACGCUAAUACCGCAUACGACCUACGGGUGAAAGCAGGGGACCUUCGGGCCUUGCGCGAUUGAAUGAGCCGAUGACGGAUUAGCUAGUUGGCGGGGUAAAGGCCCACCAAGGCGACGAUCUGUAGCUGGUCUGCGGGGAUGAUCAGCCACACUGGAACUGAGGCACGGUCCAGACUCCUACGGGAGGCAGCAGUGGGGAAUAUUGGACAAUGGGCGCAAGCCUGAUCCAGCCAUACCGCGUGGGUGAAGAAGGCCUUCGGGUUGUAAAGCCCUUUUGUUGGGAAAGAAAUCCAGCUGGCUAAUACCCGGUUGGGAUGACGGUACCCAAAGAAUAAGCACCGGCUAACUUCGCGCCAGCCGCCGCCGUAA